UUUCUUAUGAAAAUCGAACUUGUUUCUUGUUUCUUGUCCGUCUUUUGCUGUGACAGAUUCGUGGUGUGGAGAUGGUUUUCCGUGGAUUUAGGUGAGCUCAGCGCAGGACGUCCUCCUUUCAAUUUCUGGCCGAUCCAUGUCUCGUCGUUUUCGGUUCAGAGUUCCGUCCGCGACCUGAAACCUAUCCUCUUCGUGAAGACAAAGCGAUGAGCUCGUCCUAUCUUCGGCGGAACUCCGGAUUGAGUAGCUUACUGUUUUUUAGAGCAGCCUAUUUUUUCCUUGAACUGCUAAGUCUUUUGUUGCGGAUUUGCGAGUAAGGAUGGUCGCCAUGGCUGCGUUGCUGGCGCUCAGCGCGUCUCUUCCGUCGAGGAUCACAGUGACAUCCGCGGCGUCGACUUUCUUCAGGAGCGGCCAGUACGCAAUGACUCUGCCGACGCCUUCCUUGCGCGCGGGCCGUUCGCGUCGGUUCGCUGCUCUCGUGACUACCUGUUCAAGCUCCUGCUGAUUGGAGACUCAGGUCGUGGAAAGAGUUGCCUUCUGUUACGAUUUGCGGUAAGUAAUUAAAGUUGUAGCAGUGUUGUCCUCGGAAGACUUGCUCGGCUAAUCUGGAGCGCGUGAUUGUUUUGGAAAGUCUGUUAUUUUUGAGUUCUGUAAAAACUCCUUGAGAAUGCUUCAUCUUUAAUCUAUCCCAGAAAUUAUGACUUCGUGUUUUGGUUGAAAUGUGAGCGUGCGGCGGGUUGAGAGGGAGGUUUUCUUUUGGAUUUGAGCGUCUGGUGCAAAUUGGAUGCGCUUGAGAUGGUUGUGUGAGGACAGUGAGAGUGAUCGUGAGCGAGUAUGGGCGAAGGUUUCGAAUGGUAUUCAGAUGCGCGGAAGGAGCCGUCCUUUUCUGAACAUGAACCUCGCUCACUCUCUGAAGUCAGAUUCUCAUUCUCGAAGUUCGGCAUUUCCCCUUUGAAGUUUAUUUAAUGGUCUAUGUGAAUUCGUACAGUAUCAGCCAUUUUUCUAUCUUGCUCUGUAGUAUGCAUAGAUGAAUUGUAUAUUUGUGUUAACACUACUUCCAGCAAACAAUUUUAUUAGAAUAUUUUUGGAUACGUGUGUCCAAAACAGCCGUGACCCUAACAAGGUUCAACCAACAAGGACCUGGCAAUGAUCGGUCCCAAGUUUUGCUAGUCAAGCCGAUAAGAAGCAGAAGCUAGAGGGAGGGAGGCUUCGGCAGGUGUUUACUCGAAUAUUGUAAUGGAUUUGCGAUUCUGAAUGAGUAAUCCUAGUCGUAUGGAUUGUUUUUCUGCUUGACAUUGCUCAAUUCUGUUGUAUUUAACUGUAUGCAGAUACCUUAUAUGAAAGAUCGAUUGCCGAGAUAUAAAAAUCCUCCGACGUUGACAGUAGCUCACGAGUUCCAUCUUCGAACUGAAGAAAGGGCGCUUACUCACCAACGAGAUCCAAUCAAGAAAAGCUCUUCAACUCAUACACACCCUUACAAAAAAAAGAAGCGAAGAGCAUGUAAUCGCACCUGAAAACGAGAACGGGCCUAUGAGAAAGAACGUCGUCUGGGGUUUCAAGGCUGAGAAGCAAAUCCUGCAGAUUGAAACCACAUCCAACCAUCCAUCACAUCAGUAUGCCAAGAAGCGCAACACGUUCCUCAACAGAAUGCUUCACCAAACUUGCGCAACACUAUCUCCAGUGCACAACUACUAUGAAACAUCGCUGUUUUUGGAGCUCCUUCGCUAUGAAAUCCAAGCCCAUGAAAGCCAUUAACCCUUAAACGUCAGAAGGUGCCACUGGUGGCCACAAUGUUCUACGUGUAUGGUGUCGUAUUUGAACAUGAUAAGGUUCAGAUAUUGAAAUGCCACCUCUAAUUGAAAGAAAGUUGUUAGUUGAAGAAUCUUCAAUCCAAAGGUGGAAGUCGCUUCCGCGAUCCAUCAUUCAGACUAGAACUAGGUGAGCCUCUUCAGAAACUACACUAGCUUAACACAAUCCCAGGCUGCUCAGUACGUUUCUAGCAAUCAUCUGGCAUGGUGUAACGUUCCUCCGAGCAGCUGAGAGCACCAGCAGGGGCCCGGAAAAGAACGAAAACAAUAACGACGUCAACGCCGGUCGAGUGGAGACUCAGUUCAGGUGAAUUUUGAAUAGACAAUCUGAAUCAUUCCAAGGAACUCAUGUGGCCAAAGUGGGAAACUAGAAGGAGAUGCAUUCCCCGCCCGAAUAAAGAAUUCUUGCUAUAUCUUGCAGCGACGACGAUGAGCAUUGGGAGCAGAACUGGAGCCAUGUUGGUAGCUUAUGAUGAUAUGUCCAAGGCCAUGAGUGAUGGGGUGUUUGGUGCGUGGACCGCUGAAACUAAACCAAAUGAGGCUCUUCGAAGAUGCUCUUCGGCAUUUUCCACCUGUCUCCUCGCUUGCUUGGAACCUGCGAGUCCGUCAAUUCUGCACGGAACACCUGCAUCUGUAACCGGCCACGAAUCAGCAUUGCUCCAGAAUUGGGAUAAUCGACUAGUGCCACCGCUCCUCACUGCUCACGAUGAGGGCAGCCAGUGUUGCCGUCAUACUUCUGCAGCAAUUUCACACGAUCGUUCCACUCGGUGAUCUGACCUCGUCUGGAAGAAAUUCCUCAUCAGGAGUGCCCAUUUCCCAGUUCGCCUGGACUGUGAACCCAAGUACCUCUUCUCCAGUCUAAGAAGGACCCCACUAAGAGACUUCGCCAUGGCAAGAUCGGGAGGUUGCUUCGAGGACCGAAGAUACAAGUGACUCCAUCGACAUUCGGUCCACGAGCAGUGUUACGGCCGCCAACAGAUGCGCCGCCAACAAUGUGUCCUGCGUUCGUGUCAGCGAUUCUUCUAGAUGCAGCAAGAUUGAGCGUAGUGAGUGCUAAAUGAUUAUCGAGUGCUUCACUACCAAGCAUGAGCUACAACCGUGUGAUCCAAUAGCGCUCGCAUUCAAGGAAUGAGCCAGUAGUUGGAGAAGAAAACAACGACUCAGAAAUGCGUUCCUACAAAAGUUCGUCCCUCCAACUCCAAUCGCAGUGAACACAGUUUCUUCUACUCUGAUUGAACAGGGAAGUGUCACUUAAGUGAGGUCGAUAGGCUGCUGUCUUCCCUGCUCAGAGGCCUUCUGCUGUCACAGUACCGUUAACUGCUCCAACUCUGCAAUGGCACCCAGUCACUGGGGAAUGACCACGUCAGAUAUGUCCCGUCAAAAUGCGCUGAAAAUGGCGACCAAAGGGUAUAUACUCGGAGCAAGAACCUAGAUGCACCCGAGCUUCGAAGGCCACAAGGGAUUGUCCAUGCAAAGAGGGGAGGGAGGUCGAUUCACAUCCGCGUCGUCUCCGUCUAGAGUGUAGCAGUGACCAACGUCUCCAAUCUUCUCUCUGUCUGCUCUGAGGUCCGCCCUUCAUGAAUUUCUCCAAUUCUU